CAAGGAGGGAAAACUAAGAACGUCACAUCGUGUGACAACGUUUUCCUGACCAACAUCCUGUUG
rnacentral:sRNA from 1 species